CAUCCUGGUGCGAGAUGCCAAAGGGACCAUCCGGGAAAUUGUCCUGCCCAAGGGCCUGGACCUGGACCGGCCCAAGCGGACCCGCACAUCCUUCACAGCCGAGCAGCUGUACCGCCUGGAAAUGGAAUUCCAGCGCUGCCAGUAUGUGGUGGGCCGUGAGCGCACUGAGCUGGCCUGCCAGCUGAACCUCUCAGAGACCCAGGUGAAGGUCUGGUUCCAGAACCGCCGCACCAAACAGAAGAAAGACCAGAGCAGAGACCUGGAGCAGCGGGCGUCCUCCGCGUCCGAAGCCUUCGC